rnacentral:lncRNA from 1 species
AAAAAAAUAGCAAAUAAACAAUAAAAUAAACGAAGUGGAAAUAAAGUGGUCCGUUGGCUUUGUUAGGACCUUCAUACUCCCCAGAUUGCAACCCAGUUGAUCAGAGGGGAGCCUCUUCUCACUCUUCCAAAAUUUCACCCUUCUGUUUCCUUUUUCCUCUCAAAAGAUCUAUUGCCAUUCCUCGGAGUGGACCCUUUUGGCCAUUUCUUGAGUCAGUUAGCCUCGUUGGCUGUCCGAUCUUCUCUCCUCCUCCAUUUUUCCCACGGCGAACUCCGGCACUUCCCCUACCAGGUAAGCUUGCUCCCUUAAUUUUAAUCCUCCCAUCGCUAAAACAUGCGCUUGGUCGUUCCUCUCCCUUGUGUGGGAGAACAAACGGGUUGGAAAUCAUCUUUUAACGAUUUUACAUUUUCAAUGAAAGCACUUAUAUAUAAUAGGCUAUAUUUUGUUUUCUUUAAUUUUUGCAGUUAUAUUUUGAAAUUGUAUAAUUUGCCAUUCAAUUAUUAGUGUGAUUGAAUUUUACCACUAAACUUUAAUUUUUUUUAAAAGAAUUUCCAUAAACUUUGAUUUUUAGUUAAAAAUUUAGCACUUAAUAUUAAUUUUGAUGAAAAAAAAUUGAACUUUAACUACUAAUCAAAAGUUACUUAAAGUUCAUACUUUUAUGUAUUAUAGAUAGAUAAGUCAUAAAUAUUUAAUUUAAUCAAGUUACAUAUUCAACUUUAACUACUAAUAAAUUAAGCCAUUUAUACUAACAUUGUAACACUCUCGACUCGAUUUGAUUGGUUGGAUCCAGAUCUUAGGUAUUAUCAAGUUAAUACAAAUAAAAACUCAAUCUACUUUUACAAAUUACGAUCACUUACGUCUUACUUAAUCACAAAAUUUCUAAUUUGAAUAGAUAAACAUGUACAAGUAAAUAUAAUUACAUCACGUGGUAAUUAAAAUACAACAAUAUUUAAUUUGAAACUCUAAUACAAUACAGAUGCCCCAAAUAGGGACUUCUAAGUAAUAAUUCAGUCUUGGAAUACAUCGCCAAUCUUGCUCUGUAUACACAAUAACCUGAUAUUUCACUUUUAGGGAUAGUCCUAACAUCGUCCCUCUUGACGUAGACUUACGUCAUCUCACUUAUAACAUAAUACAUACAGAUAAGUUUAUAAGAAUUUAGUAAGGAAAAUAUAAUUUACAUGAGUCAUAUUUGCACAUUGCAAUUGAUAGUUUAGAUAGAUGAUACCAUCGUCCUUAAACAUUCAACUUUGUCUCUGAUGAAUACUUCCUCAAGUUUUGUUUCCAUAUUCACAUCAGAUAUCAUACCUUACUUUGAAAUCACUUCUUCUUAUCGAAGUAUUCAAUACAUCAUUUACUUCUUUCAAUCAAAACAAUCAUAAAUCUUUAUCCAUUUUCUUUUCAGAGAUCAAUACAAUCAGUAACAACAUUACGCUUGCAAACUUACUUCUGAGCCAUCAAAUCAUCACAAUUCAAAAGAAUGUGUGCACAGACGAUAGAUACCUCCUUCAAACAUACAAAUUUUACAGUCUUAUUUUUAGACGAGUCAUAGCCUUAUAUAACUCGUUUUUACUGUACUAACCAUAUAGACAUAAAACCUUUCUAAUCUUACUGAUUUCACUUAAGAGUCAUGUUGAAUGCGCCUAAUCGAUUUAUUAUAGAACCUGCCACAAGAACAUUCUUUCCGAUAUGUCACCAAGGACUUUAUUUUGACGUAUCAUAUGGACAUUUCUUUCAGAGUUCGUCAUGAAUGAUACUUUUUCAUAUUGCGCUACGAAGGCGCUCCUUUAGGGUUUGCCAUAAGGGUAUUUUCUUCCUAAUGUGUUUGUGAUAUGAAUUUGCCUAGACUCACAUUUCGUGAGAUUUGCUUGUCAUUAUCCUAAGACAUGCAGAAAAAAUCCAUUAGGCUAUAGCCAUGACCAUGGACUUUCCAUUCAGGGUUCUUAUUUAAAGUCCCGGCGAACCCUUUUGAACAUCACCGCGAUGAACAGACAUAAACUCUUCAUGCCCUUAUACAAUUUAAACCUAACCUUUUAUUCCACCAACAUAUAACCACAUACAUUCCCGACUCAUAAUACAAAUUCUAGGCAUACAUAUAACCAUACCUCAGCAUUACAUUAUUUAAUCACCAUUCAUCAUAUGCUUGAACUUAUCAUAUUCCAUACCAAUUAUACAUGCCAUCCUCAAUGAACAAUCAUACAUUCAUAGAUCUCAUUUAGUAAUUACUCAUAUAGUUACAUACAUAUCAUAUCGUACCUUUCGUGAUCUCGGCUUCAUAUUUCAUUUAGUAUGCCACAGAUCUAUUUGCAUGAAUAGUACAUAUGCAAAAGUCAGCAAAGAGGCUCACCUGACAAUCUCACAUAGCAGCUUAAAUUCUAGAUCCAACAAGAGAUUACAAUAACCACUACUUAUAAAACAAAAGAACACCAUUAAAACUCGUUUUAACCUCUACCGUCAUCUUAAACCUAGAUAACCCACAUAUAAAGCCUUACUUCUUUAUUUAACUAUUCAUGCACUUAUUCAAACUUAAUCUUUCAUAACUUUAACAUGUAGAGUUACAAUAUUUACCUUGACAUGUAGUAGUCACUAACAAAAAUCUAGAUUUACAACUCCAAUUUAUAGGAGAAAAAAAUACUUUCUGGUUUCUCCAGUAUCAGAUAACAAUACUUUAGAAGAAAGAAGGAAAAUUUUUUCUUUCUCUACCCUUAAUAUCGACAUAUUUAACCUAAGUCCUUAUUGGAACUUGACAUGUGUCACAACUCGUAAGAUUGUUUUUAUAAAUGGCUUACAGUUGUAGAGAGAACCUAAAUAAAAAUCCAAUAAAUUAUAUAUUUGGUUCUUCGGUUCUAUCCAUUUCUAUCCAAAUGGUUUUUAACGUAACUGGCACAGUAACUCAAUGAACUUGGCAUAUAAUACCUUCGACAAUAACUCCAACUUACAAAAUUCUCAAUACUCUUACCAAACUCCCUUUCCUUACAGCACAACACAUUCUAAGUUCGAUCCGUAUAUAAUAUUCCAAUAUCUGCUAUGCACUCAAAUUGUACACCAAAACAAUAAUUGGGCAGAUAGGCUACGCCUCACAAAUUACUCUCAGUCUACUCGCCAGAACUUAAAACCCAUCAAAACUAGGUGUUACAAACGCCGUCGAGUUAUUUUAAUGGAAAAAUUGAGUUAUCACUUCUAUUUAGCAAUUUUUUUCAAAUAAGCAAAUAAUAUAUAUUGUUAUUUUAAAUAAAUUUGUCUAAGCUUUUUUCCAAACAUAAAUUACUAGAGAAAUAAAAUUUAGUUUUGCAAUUCUGUAAGAAUGAAACCUUAAUCAAUUGAAUCAAUUUUUUUGAAUUUUUUUCUCAUUCUUCAUCAUUCAUUUUCAACCAUUAAAGAUUUGCAAUUGUUCCUUUAAACUUUCAUAAUCGAUCAUGGAGGUUUUUAUUCCUUGAUAUAGAGGUAGGGAUCAACAUUGAAAAGUCCUCGAGUUGCAGAUUUGACGUAGGGCUUUAGACUAAAUUGAAGGGAAUUGGCAUGUAAGCAACCUAAAACACAUAAGAAAUGUAACAACUCGAUAGGCAGGGGUGUUGAAAAGUGUAUAUCCGGGACUCUGUUCAUGUAAACCAGACUCGAAGUUAAUUAUUUAGUUAAUUAAAUUUUGGAUAGAUAAUUUACAUGAAUUAGGAGCUAUUAUGGUUUAAGGACUAAAUUGCGUAAAAGUAAAAAAUUCAAUUAUAAAUUGAAAUAAACUAAAGGGGCUAAAGUAAUAAUUAUGUAAUUUAAUAAAUGGUUGUGUAUAGGUGCCCGGUCAAGGGUUAAGUGUAAUGUGCUUUUAUAUAUUAUAUAUAUGUUAUAUAUUAAGUUAGAAUAAUAAUAGUAAUAAAUAAAAUGAAAACAAAAUUAAAAGAAAAAAGUGAAGUAGAAUGAGAGAGCACAUGCAAAUUAAAAGAAAAGAAAAGAAAGAACCAAAAGAGGCCGACGAUACUAAGGGCUUCAAACUUUCAAAUUUUAAUUGGUUAGUCAAUUUAGCCCCAUUUUCUUAUAAUUUUCAUAUUUUUGGAAUCACAGUACCUAGGUUCUAAUUUUUAGUAUUGUUUAAGAUUUUAGAUGUUGCUAUUGUUGAAUAGUUUAAGUAUUAGGAAUUAAAUAGAUAGAUUUUUAAGCUAGAAGUGGAAAAUGACUAAAUUGUGAAAUUAAUAGUUGAUUUUGAGUAAUAGGGACUAAAUUGAGAAAAUUUUGAAAUUGAAGGGUUGAAUUAGAAAAUGAGCUAAAUUUAGUUUAAAGUGAAAUUAGUAUAAAAAUAUAAAGUUAAAUGUGAAGGUUAAAAAUUAGUCUCGAUUUAGGGACUAAAUUGAAGUUUAAGCAAAUAAAGUGUAAAAUUUUAAUUUUAAUGUAAAAUUAAAUUAUGUAAUAUUAAUAUAUUUUAAUUGUUUUAUUCCGUAGCUAACGUCGUACCGGAAUCCUUGAGUAAAAAGGAGAAGGAUAAAAUUGACGUCGAAUAGCUCAGAAUUUACGGUUUGUGUGUUCUAUAAUCCUAAUUAAAUAACAGAUUGUUGUAUAAUUAAUUGUUUGCAUAUGGUAAGCAUUUGUGGUGGGUACUUUGGUACUUUUGGAUUAAAUUGAAUUCAUAGUAAAUUUGAAAGGGAUUCAUUUUGUGUAUUAUGAAAUAUGUUGAUUAUAUGAAUAUUGAAUUGACUAUAUGUGAUAGUGUAUAUAUGUGAAACUGAGACAUUAGUUGUAUUGAAAAGUGAAAUAAAACUCUAUUAACUGUAUCGGGCUGAGUUGGAUAUAGAUGGCAUGCCAUAGGAUAGGAAGAGUUCAAGGAUUUCUCUUAAGUCGAUGAGGCACUGGGUGCCAAUUUACUUUGGUUUAACUGAUGAGACAUUGGAUGUCAAUUUAUAUAGCACUGGGUACAGUUAUUAUUUUGGAAUUAACUAGACACUAGGUGCCAAAUUGGUGUGUUGGUUGGAUCUGUGUAUCUAUCCGAGUCUGAGUCAUGUUAAUAGGGAAAAUUAAAUAAUAAAUUUAUAUGUUUGAUAUUGAGAUGACCAUGUUGAGAAAUGAAUAUGAGAUGAGAAAAAGAAAUAUGAAAUAAUGAAAUGUGAUGUGAAUCUUGAAAUGAAUUCAAGUAUCAAAAUGAUUAAUCAUGCCAUUGAAUGAGUUGGACUACUAAAUGCUAUAUAUAUGAAAUAUCACUGAUAUGUGCUUGAACAUAUGAAAUAUUAUUACCAUGUGCUAAAUUUUGUGAACUCUAUUGAAUGUGAAUAAAGAAUGAGUAAGUUGGCAUUAUUGAUUUGAUACAUAUGUUUUAUAACAUUACUUAUUGCAUUUUUAUAUCUUAUCUAUCCAUAUCAAGUUUAAAUUAUUCGGAUUAUAGAAAUACCACUAAGUUAUACUCAGUGUGCGGUUUUGUUUUCUGUACGCAAGCUAGGUACUUUUCAACAUAUCGCAGACUCAGCAUCAAACAAUAAAUCCCGAGCUCAAGUGUGGUUAUAUCUUAUUUUGAAAUGGCAUGUACCGAGGAAGUCUUUGGUUGAUAGUUGGUUUGUCAAUGUCAUGUUAUUUUGUUUUAAG